rnacentral:misc_RNA from 1 species
GAAAUGCGAUAAGUAAUGUGAAUUGCAGAAUUCGGUGAAUCAUCGAAUCUUUGAACGCACAUUGCGCCCGCCAGCACUCUGGCGGGCAUGCCUGUUCGAGCGUCAUUUCAACCCUCAGAACCCCUUGCGGGAUCUGGCGUUGGGGAUUGGCAUCCAGCCAGCCCCGAAAUCUAGUGGCGGUCCCUCCGCGACCUCCCCUGUGCAGUAGCGAUACCUCGCAGCGGGACAGCGGUCUGACCACGCCGUAAAACCCCCAACUUCUCAAGGUUGACCUCGAAUCAGGUAGGAAUACCCGCUGAACUUAAGC